rnacentral:lncRNA from 1 species
GUGGCUGCUGCCCAGGCAGCACAGCAGAAAAAGAAUUACCGUGUUUCUGAAGAAAGCAAAAAUGGAGGUCAUGAUGCUUCUAAUGCGGAAGAAGAAAGAAAGUCGAUGACUGGAAAACCACCUGCAACUGUUGGGCAGUCCAUUGCUUUCUCAAGGCAGGAUUUAACUGAUGCACAGGUUUCUGCAAUGACAAGCAACACUGUACUUGAUAGUUCAACACGAACCCUUAACCUUGUUUCUGUGCCUGCCCGGAGUAAUGUUUCAGUUAUGCCUGCUUCUAUGAGCAAUGCCAAUGCUUCUGCUGCGCAGCAGCAACUGCAGCGGAGUCAGCAACAAAUGAUGCAUCUUCAGAAGCACCAGCAGUUUGCUGCUGCCCCCCAACGAAGCAAAACCCCAGCAACAAGUAAUGGAACUGUUUACUCUGACCAUCUACCUGCAUCAUCUAUGGCUGCAAAGUUCCCUAAUACCUUGUCUGUAUUUCCACAAAACCUUGUCCAAAGUAGCAGCCCCCCAUCUCAAUCUCCGCAGUGGAAGAAUUCUGGGAGGACAAGCACUUCUCAAGUUGCUUCACAAUCUCUUGGCCCAUCUUCCACAUCAUCUCUUAAAAAUCUUCCCCAACACCAAGGCAGAGCACAGCAAAGCCACACACAAAUAUCAUUUGCAGCCAACCCCAAAUCAUCAUCCUCACAGGGGCAACCACCAAACAAUAACCAAUGUGCUUCUCCUCCAAUGAUGGUAGGUUCACCCACAACUUCAAUGUCCAAGACUAGUGCAGGUGGAAGCCCGAGGACAACAGUCACCACUUCCACCAGCAACAAAGGUGG